rnacentral:rRNA from 1 species
AAUGGGCGCAAGCCUGAUCCAGCCAUGCCGCGUGAGUGAUGAAGGCCCUAGGGUCGUAAAGCUCUUUCGCCAGAGAUGAUAAUGACAGUAUCUGGUAAAGAAACCCCGGCUAACUCCGUGCCAGCAGCCGCGGUAAUACGGAGGGGGUUAGCGUUGUUCGGAAUUACUGGGCGUAAAGCGCACGUAGGCGGAUCAGAAAGUAUGAGGUGAAAUCCCGGGGCUCAACUCCGGAACUGCCUUGUAAACUCCUGGUCUUGAGUUCGAGAGAGGUGAGUGGAAUUCCGAGUGUAGAGGUGAAAUUCGUAGAUAUUCGGAGGAACACCAGUGGCGAAGGCGGCUCACUGGCUCGAUACUGACGCUGAGGUGCGAAAGUGUGGGGAGCAAACUGGAUU